UACGGAGGGUGCGAGCGUUGUCCGGAAUCAUUGGGCGUAAAGGGCGCGUAGGUGGCCCGGUCAGUUCGUGGUGAAAGCGCGGGGCUCAACCCUGCGUCGGCCAUGAAUACUGCCGCGGCUGGAGCACUGUAGAGGCAGGCGGAAUUCCGGGUGUAGCGGUGGAAUGCGUAGAGAUCCGGAGGAACACCAAAGGCGAAGGCAGUGUCCUGGGGAGUACCGUGACGCUCAGGUGCGAAAGCCAGGGGAGCGAACGGG
rnacentral:rRNA from 1 species